UUUGUGUUUCAAGUCAUGUCAUCAUUAGAGAAAUAUUUUCUACUGUUAACGCAUAACUUUAAAUAGAAUUAGAGACUGAGUCUAACAAUUACAACCGCUGGAGGAGCUUUCUGAUAUUGAUGCUGACCAACAACUGAGGAAAGUGAUGUUCCACAUGCUCAGAUAUUUGCAGUCUCUAUUUCCACUUCAUUUAAAAGGAAGAGGAUAAAUCCAUCAGGAUUCUGGAAAUGCAUGCAAACCACACUGUCCAUUCCUCCAUCAAGCCUCCGACUAUCAGAUCUUAGUUUCACUUUGGAGGGUGCUACGCUCGGUAGAAGGCACCUGGCAGCCGCCACAGGACUACAGCUGUGAGCCUCCUUUAACUGGGUCAGGUGUGCUUUGAGAACAGCGGGAAUUCACUCAUUAACAAGAGGAGGACAUGAAGGAUUGACCUCCUUGACCCCAAUACCUCUGACCAGACCCCACCUCUAGCACUGGAGAUUACGUUUCAACAUGAGAUUUGGAGGGAACAAACGUCCAAACCGUAUCAGGUAUUUUUCCUUGACUUGCAGUAGCACAUCCCAUUUACCUUGAGUUGUGAAAGUGUUCUCCUGAGAGGAGUUGUCCAGAAGAGACUGGCCUCUGCAUCAGUAGACUGAGUAAGGAAGACCGUCCCUCAUCCCAUGUGGAUGUUUUCCGUUAAUCCUGGAGUGGACAAAAGGUAGAGGAGAGACGAAUUCUCUCUUUCUUCUGGAGCGGGGACACCCAUCUUCUCGUGCCCUUGGGCAUCAGAACUCCAGGCUCUCUGGCCUCUUUGGACUUGGGAAUUUGUAUCAGCAGCACCUCAAGUUCGUAGGCCUCCAGACUGAGGUUGAGAUGUGCACCAUCUGUUCUCCCGGUCCUCAUGCCUUUGGUCCUGGAUUGAGCCACGCCACUGGCUUCCGUUUCUCCAGCUUCCAGUCAGCCUAGCGUGGGAUUUCUCAGCCUCCAUCAUUGUGUGAGUUUCCCUAAUAACUCCUCUCUUAUCUAUCUAUGUAUCUCCUAUUGAUGCUGUUCUGGGGAACUCAUAAAGAUCCAUUUUACAGUUAGUCAUACAAUGUCACUGAGCUUCAAUUCCCUUGGGAAAAUCAUGGGCUAUUUUUAUCCACUUUAUAAUGUGGUUGAUUGAAUGAGGUAAUGUAUAACAAACACAAGCAUAUUUCAGGUGCUCUGUACAUGAAGUCAUCCUUUUGUUGGAAAAUGAGUUUGUCAUUAGGAAACCAAGCGACUGCAUCCCCAGUUGACUCUGUGGACUGAAUGAAUCAGCAGACUUCUUUGACACUCAGUUUACUUAGUUGUAAAAUUGCCUAUGUAAUAAUACCUUCCUCUAAAACUAUAGUCAGGAUAUAAUUAAACAAACCAAUAUGCGCCCAAGAAUCUUGUCCAUAGUUAAACUUAUAUUACUUUGUAGCAACUUGUCAUUUUCACCAUGCAUGCUUACUUCUAGACAUUAUAGAUCUGAGGUGUCUGUUGCUGAAAACCUGGCCCUCCUAACAGAUGCACGACCUGUUUGCAUUUGCUGUGGCUGAGCUGCUUCAGAGCUCCAGCUUCUACGCUAUGCUACCUACCUGACAGUCAGGUAUAGUAAGAAUGGUCUAUACAAAGCAAUGGCGGCGAGUUAGAUUCUAAAAGGGAUUUGUUGUGAUUGCAUUGUUGGUUUUUAAUAAGCUUUCAAAAUAUUUUCUUGGAUAGUUUUUAGAUGUAUUUUUUCCAAACUUGCCAAAAAGAUUGAGCUGUGAAUUUACGAUUUGACAAAGUAUUGCACUAACAAAUGUAAUGUGGCCGGGCGCAGUGGCUCAAGCCUGUAAUCCCAGCACUUUGGGAGGCCGAGUUGGGCGGAUCACGAGGUCAGGAGAUCGAGACCAUCC